GGCACAGAGACAAAUCCAAGUUCCAUGGAGAAGAACUCCUGUUCCCUCAGUCCAGAUCUUAUACACUCUCUGCAAGCCUUCCAGAUGAAAGGAGGUUUGGGGACUGGUAAGCCACAUAAAUAGACUGAAUUGUUUUCAGAAGCACAUUUCUGUUCUUUUAAACAUUCAAUUUAUAAGAUAUGCACAACUGCUUCUAAUUCCUCAAAGAAUUGAGCUGCAACCCCAAAAGAUAUGGAGACCACUCCUCCCAUCCAACUACCUUAUCCUCAGCUUGCAUCUUCAUAGCAGGGAAAGGACCUUCACUAAGUCUAUCCAUAGGACCACAAUGACUGAGGAAGGGACCGAUACAUCGUUGAGAGAAAAGUCAUAGGAUGGUGUGGGAUCUAUUGGAAAGAAAUGCUUUCUUCUUUGACUCAGCAUGAGUCUGGAAAGGUCAUUAGUCAGGUUGGAUGUGCCUUGCAAAUGUUGACACCUAACUGAUUCAACCUCACAAAAGGAACAUGGUAGGAAGAAAGCUGCAAACAAGACAAAUAGCCAUCGUGAUGCCUCAGUUUCCAAUAAAAUGCAGAAUAAGCAAGAAUGGUUUGAAAUCAAAACAGGUCAUGAUCUUCCACAAGUAGGAACGGGAGAGAGACUUACUGCAUUAUCACCUCACCCUGCAGCCAAAUCAAUACACCAAAGCAUAAGGUAAAUGGACUUCAGUCCAUAUCAUCCAGUCUUGUUGCCCUGAGACUCCACUCUGAAGGGGAUGGGGCUCGCAGCAGCCCCUCCUGAGCUGCAAGAAGUCACAUUCUGGGAAGGAGCCAGCGCGCGGGAUCCCCGGAAUGCAUUGUUGUCGUUCCUCCACCCACCCAUCCCGCUGAAAUGGCACAAUGGAAGGACUGUGUUCUCUACUGAGGACUUCCCUUUUUAAAAAUAAACAAGCAAGAGUUUCCCUAUUUUGACCUAUAUUCAACAGUGGAAGAAGGCAGCCAGUCCUGGGGUGGGGAGACUGGGAAAGGAAGCCCGGUGUCAGGCAAACACACUCAGGGAUGAUGUGCAGGAGAGCAUGCAGCUCUCUGAAGAUGGCAGAGUGAAAGGAAAGCUGAGCAUCGGUGGCCUGUGGCAUUCCCAGAGAAACCAUUCCAUUGACACACAAUUGACUUCCUUAGGUUUUCUUGAGGUAGUUUUGACAGGCUUUCCCCAUAUCUUUCAGGAAGUUAGGAACACCACUCUGCAAAGCAAAGGAGAACUGUCACUUCUGUGUCCUCAUUAACAUUACUCUUGAUUCCUUGGGAUAGGACAGAGGCUCUGCUUGUACUGAUUCACCCGGACCACACCAGACCUCUCAGCAAUCUGAGGUACAGAGGUGCUCUGAGCCAGGAUCACGUGGAUCUUCCUCCCGUCCAAGUCCAGGUCUCGUCGCUGCCGGAUGUAGAUGUACUAUACUGCCAGUCAAGGCAUGAUAUCAAUGCCAGCAUUUCAGAUGGGUGGAAUGAAAUCCCGCAAGCCAGAAGUAAUGUGAGAUAAUUCUACUCCUCCCCCCUGGCAUUUGCCCCCUUAUACUGUUCCUUCACUUCCCUGUCCUGUCUCCCUGGGUGCAUACCAAGAUUGUGCCCCGUACUACUUGAUAUGCUCAUCUGACAGCACGCAUUACCUACAUAUGAAUGAUUCCUUGACGUUUUCAAUUAUACAACGAAAGGACUCUUCCCUUCUCUGAGAAGGCACUAUCAGAUAGAGGAUGGAUCGCUCAUCAGCGGUGUGAUUCUGCAUUAGUUACUCAACCUUUCUGAAGCUAGGUUUCCCUCUGUAGGAAAAGGGAAUCAAGUUGCCCAGCAGGCAGGUUUGCUCAGAGCACUGGAGAAAGACUGGGGCAGAAUAAGUACUCCAUAAGCACUGGGGUCAUUCCACUCUGUCCUGUCCUCCCCAAUGUGCUAGUUAGUGACGCCUAUGCAUGUAGGAUCUUCAAGCAAUGUUACUUAUACCUAGUGGUCAGAGGAAGAGUAAUGAAUACCUGAAUAUUUAGUACCCAGAUGUCCUCACUCUGGGUUAACACUAGUUAACCGCCAAGAAUAACAAAGCCGUUUCAUCUCUGUAAACACUCACAGAACACUCACUAUGUCUAAGGUACUAUUCUAGGGAAGAUAAUGUAAUCCUAAUAAACAGUGAAAGCUACCAAUUUUUAAGCCCUUCCCAUGAGCCUUACAUAUAGCAUCACGUUUGAUCCUGAAAAGGUCCCUGUGAGUUUGGAGCCAUUAUCCCCAUCCUACAGAUGACAAUUUUGAGACUCAGAAGUAAAGGAACUUGCCAAAGAUCCCAUAGCUCAACUGGAACCUGACUGCAAACUCAGAUCUGUCUCCAAAACCUAAUUAGACUUUCACAGCUGCUCAGGCAUCAACAGAAUUUUAGGUUUCACACUGAAGUAAUUCAAAGCCUAAACAAACAAAAAAAUCUCUAAGUAUAAGGUAAUAUACUCAUUGUAACAGCAACAACCAUAGCCCCAUGCCACCUCAGAGUUUCUACAGCACCCACAAGGGUCCCAGCCAUCAUUCAGGCACUCUGCAGGAUGGGCUAUUGUCCCCAUGCUUUAUGGACUGACAAGUAAAGUUCUUAAAUGUU